rnacentral:piRNA from 1 species
UCCUCAAGUCAGCCUGGAAUUGGGCCUG